rnacentral:ncRNA from 2 species
AGUAAGGAUAGAGGCGCAAAGACCAUAAGUACUCAUUCUGAGGAUAAUGAGGUCCAUUGAGGAUUGGGGAAAGGGGUAUUUGCCGAAACUUUGAGAACUCAUUCUUCUUAAAGUUGGUUCUGUGAUUGAAUAAAUGCAGAACUGUCAUAUAGGGAACUAUAUGGAGGGCUAUCUUACGC